rnacentral:tRNA from 1 species
GGCUCGUUGGUCUAGGGGUAUGAUUCUCGCUUCGGGUGCGAGAGGUCCCCGGGUUCAAAUCCGGGAGGAGCCG